GAUGAACGCUAGCUACAGGCUUAACACAUGCCAGUCGCGGGGCAGCAUGGGGGUUGCUUGCCAUCCCCGAUGGCGACCGGCGCACGGGUGAGUAACGCGUAUCCAACCUGCCCUUCACCACGGGAUAACCCGGCGAAAGUCGGACUAAUACCGUAUGUUGUCCAUUGACGGCAUCCGAUUUGGACGAAAGGCUUGGCGGUGAGGGAUGGGGAUGCGUCCGAUUAGCCAGACGGCGGGGUAACGGCCCACCGUGGCUACGAUCGGUAGGGGUUCUGAGAGGAAGGUCCCCCACACUGGAACUGAGACACGGUCCAGACUCCUACGGGAGGCAGCAGUGAGGAAUAUUGGUCAAUGGGCGUAAGCCUGAACCAGCCAAGUAGCGUGCAGGAUGACGGCCCUAUGGGUUGUAAACUGCUUUUAUGCGGGGAUAAAGUGGCCCACGGGUGGGCUUUUGCAGGUACCGCAUGAAUAAGGACCGGCUAAUUCCGUG
rnacentral:rRNA from 1 species